GGAGAAGAAUGGUCGGCAGAGUAACUGUUGUCGGCGUGACGGUAUCCAACAAGAAAGCCACGGCUAACUACGUGCCAGCAGCCGCGGCAAUACGUAGGUGGCAAGCGUUAUCCGGAUUUAUUGGGCGUAAAGCGAGCGCAGGCGGUUUUUUAAGUCUGAUGUGUAAGCCCUCGGCUUAACCGGGGGAGCGUAUCGGGAACGGGGAAACUU
rnacentral:rRNA from 1 species